rnacentral:misc_RNA from 1 species
UGCACCACUCAAGCCAAGCUUGGUUUUGGGACCUCGCCUCGUACCCCGAGGCGUGUCCGAAAGUUAGCGGCGACGUGCCCGGCACUCAAGCGCAUUAACAUAUCCAUCCGCUUAGAGUCCACCGGGCGUGCCAGCCGGACCAACCCAAUGACACUCAAACGAUUGACCUCGGAUCAGGUAGGAAUACCCGCUGAACUUAA